rnacentral:lncRNA from 1 species
AUGACACACGCCUGGACAGAAGAGUUUCGGGUCAAAGGAGGCCUCCUGUCACCCUACAAGCCAGACAUCAAGGAUUCUCUCUCCUUUUGUUUGAAGUCUCCUCCCCAGGCUUACUUGCUGCCAUUGUUUCUCUUCCUGGUUCUGCCUUGCUGCUUCCUCCAGGUUAGCCCAGAACCCCUUUCAGUUCCCCUAGUUACUGGGGAAUGGGGGUGGGGAGGAGGAACCAAUGCCCUCUUGUUUAAUUUUGUUAAACUAAAUUUACCUGGAGAACUAGAGUGCAGAGUGAACUGAGCUCUGGGCAAUUCCCCCUAACAUUCCAAGGUGUGAUGUUCCCCUGGCCACAAAACUCACAGAAAUUUCCCCAAACUCAUCUUUCUUCCUCGGGCACCAACCUCAAGUCAGCUCCCAUAAACCACCCCUUCCCUCACAAGUCUAUUCUUAUAGCUGCUCCCUGCAACCUUUAAACCGUUCCCUACUCAUGGCAUUUUAUGCCCUUUUCCCAUUUCUUUCUCAUCUUUAUUUCUUAUUUCUCUGAAAGUUUCUGUUUUUCUCUUCUAUCUAGGUUUCUGUUGACAGAAUUGCUGCCAGUCAAACAAUUCUCCUUCAGUACAAACAUUAGCAUAUUUAAAACUACAGUUACAUCACAUUUACUUUCCACCCCAUCCAAAUUCCCUUAUAUUUUAAGGAAUGGAUAUUUUUCCCAUUGUACAAAGAAAAACCCAGUCUAUCUGAAGAAUGUUUAGGGUAAUUUCCUGAAAAGUCAACAGUAAAUAGUGAGAAGUCUCUGGGUUAGUGUAUCAGGAACAACCUUGCUCCCUAUCCCAAACCCCUACUUCUGUCAAGUGCUUCUGCCCACAGGCUCAGUGGCCUUUACUCUUUACCUUUUGCCCCUCCUUUCUGCCUUUAUCUUCUUCUUGCAAACAUAUUUACCAUAGCCCCAAUACGUAAAGACAUGGUACCCUGGAAAUGGCACUAGAAUAAAAUAAAUACUGAAAUAGAAGUAUCUGAGUUCAAAUCCUGAUUCCAGGCAAGAUAGUGAUUUUCUCUUGGAACAUUUUCCUCAUUUGUAAAAUUACAGAGUGAGUAUAGACAAAAUCUAAAUUCUCUUCCAGGUCCAAAUCUAUGUCCUACAAUUACAUGGAGGUUAUAAAGCUUUCCUAGUCCUUAGCUUUGCCUAAAUCUGAGCCGGCUGUCACCCAGUUUGGGAAAGAGUUCUUAGGCAGGGAUUUGCAUAGUGGUAGUAGGGUGAGAGCCAGGCAAGGCACAAUUAUUGAUGACUUGUGAACAGAUGGAGGCUAAGCUUUUUGGUGGCUGCCUAAAUAAGUGAUGUUGCUGCCUCCCACCCACAGCCUUCUCUCUAAGCCCUGCACUGAAUCAGUCAAAAGUUCUGCAAGCUUUAUCCCUUUAAUAUCUUCCCUCUGUGCUUUAUACUCUUAUUGUCAUCCUCUCUGGACCUUAGUUUUCUUAUCUGAAAAACUGCAAUCAUAAUGCCUCCCCUGGCUACUAGGGAGUUAGGUGGUAUACUGGAUAAAGUGCUCAUCCUGCUGUCCAGAGAACUAUGUUUAUGAAUGACCAUGCCCAGUAUAAUCUCGGCACUGGGUCUGCUACCAGCUCUGGAAUCAGUAACCAAUAGUAGGGAGAGCUAAAUAUACUGGAGAGAACUAAAACUGGAGAGAAGACAUAGCCUAGAUCCACAAAUGUCCCACUGGACAUCAGAAAUUCACUUCUUCUCCACUCUCCUACCUUGUUCCAUAAAAUAUAAAUCCACAAAAUAAUAAGAGACAUCUUACUCUAGAAGUAGAGCUAAUGCUAAUCUUGGAAUAGGUCAUGUCAGUGUGACAUAUUUUAGCAGUUAAGUCUUUGAGAGUUGCCCACAGUCCAGAAAUUAAACCACUUAUCCUUGGUCACAUGGACAGUAAAUUUCAGAGGCGGGAUCCGUACCAAGGGCUUCAUCAUUUCCAGUGAAGUAUUCUAACCUUUAAGCUAUAGUUAUCUCCCUGGGGCAGGUCAAACAGGAAUUUAAAUUCUCACAGAGGCGAAAAUGGCAAGUGAGAGUAGGUUUGGAUGGGAAGGAGGCAGGAAGGACUUGAACUAGGUGCAGGGUUUAAGAGGGAGGGUAAGAAAGAAAGGAUGCUGAUAAAGAAGGUGGAGGAAAAUGAGACAGAAAUGGGCUUUAUCUGCUGCAUGAUGGCAGCCCUGGAAAGAUGGCUAACCAUAGAUGUUCAUUUGUUCCCUGGCUUCCUGACUGCCCAGUCAAGGGCAGGAUUUUAACCCCACAGCCCUUUGAGUUUUUAAGAUCUGAAGACUCUUUCUAUGAUAAUCACACUUCCAGAUAUCCUCCUUAACUCCUGUUUCCUGAGGUUUGCCAUAGAGAGAAUCCACAUCUAUAUCCUUCCUGUUCAUGUCCCCCUGGCCUUGUAUUCCAAAUUCCAAAGCAGUUAUGGGAACAAGUUGGCACCCUCUUUGGCCUUGGGAUCACAGGAGAAAAUAUCCUCAGAUUAACACUCAGAAUAAAAAAAAACUUCAAGAAAAACAGCAGCUUCUUCUCAACUCUGGUGAACUGAUGUGAAAACAAAAAUGUAGCAAUUAAGAAAUUAGAAUACUUCAGGCAUGGUAAAUGAGACCCAUGCUUUUCCCAAUGGUAAAUCUAAAAAGCAACGGAAUCGAACAAUUAAUUAGCUCCUUCUUACUCUCUGAUAAUAUAUGUUCCAUUGUUAACAAAAUGUCCUUCACAUUAAUCCUAUGCCCAUCCCUAGGAAUUUAAUAUUAUAUUAUUAUAAAAAAUAUAAUCUGAUAUAUGUAUACAUAAAAUAAACACAUGUUUAUAUGGGUUGCUUAUAUAUAUAGUAUAUAUUAUAUAUAACUGUGUUUAUAUUCUAGUCAAAUUAUAAUAUUUGGA